rfam:Desulfoplanes formicivorans DNA, contig: NODE_5, strain: Pf12B.
UAGUAAGAUAUCAAGGGCAAUUGGUGGAUGCCUAGGUGUCAGGAGGCGAAGAAGGACGUGGAAGGCUGCGAUAAGCCUCGGUGAGCCGUCAAACAGGCUUUGACCCGGGGAUUUCCGAAUGGGGGAACCCGUAUGGAGUAAUGUCCAUACACUCCAGACUGAAUACAUAGGUCUGUGAGAGCCAACCCGGGGAAGUGAAACAUCUCAGUACCCGGAGGAAAGGAAAUCAAAAGAGAUUCCCCAAGUAGCGGCGAGCGAACGGGGAUUAGCCCAAACCAUAUGGUUUCGACCAUAUGGGGUUGUAGGGCUCCGAUACGUGAUCCAGUGAUUAGAUAGCAGAACAGUCUGGAAAGGCUGACCAGAGACGGUGACAGUCCGGUACGCGAAAUCGAAAACGGCACACGGAGUACCUGAGUAGGGCGGGACACGAGAAAUCCCGUUUGAAUCUGGGAGGACCAUCUUCCAAGGCUAAAUACUACCUGACGACCGAUAGCGAACCAGUACCGUGAGGGAAAGGUGAAAAGAACCCCUGUUAGGGGAGUGCAAUAGAACCUGAAACCAAUUGCCUACAAGCAGUUCGAGCACACUAGUUGUGUGAGAGCGUGCCUUUUGCAUAAUGGGCCAGCGAGUUAAUCUGUAGUGCGAGGUUAAGCCGAGAGGUGUAGCCGUAGCGAAAGCGAGUCUUAACAGGGCGAGAUAGUACUGCGGAUUAGACCCGAAGCCGGGUGAUCUAUCCAUGAGCAGGCUGAAGCUUGAGUAAAAUCAAGUGGAGGGCCGAACCAUUGUAAGUUGAAAAUUACUUGGAUGACUUGUGGAUAGGGGUGAAAGGCCAAUCAAACCCGGUGAUAGCUGGUUCUCCCCGAAAUAUAUUGAGGUAUAGCCUCAGGCGUUUAUUAACGGAGGUAGAGCACUGACAGGGCUAGGGGUCCUACCAGAUUACCAAACCCUAUCAAACUCCGAAUACCGUUAAUUGAGAGCCUGGGAGUCAGACUACGGGUGAUAAGGUCCGUGGUCGAAAGGGAAACAGCCCAGACCAUCGGCUAAGGUCCCUAAAUCAUGCUAAGUGGGAAAGGAAGUGGAACCGUUAAGACAGCCAGGAGGUUGGCUUAGAAGCAGCCAUCCUUGAAAGAAAGCGUAAUAGCUCACUGGUCUAGUAGUUCUGCGCCGAAAAUGUAACGGGGCUAAGCAUGAUACCGAAGCCAUGGGAUUGAAGACUUGUCUUCGAUCGGUAGGGGAGCGUCCUCUUUUAGGAUGAAGAUAAACCGGAAGGUUUGUUGGACGGAAGAGGAGUGAAUAUGCUGGCAUGAGUAACGAUAAAACGGGUGAGAAACCCGUUCGCCGUAAACCCAAGGUUUCCAGGGUAAAGUUAAUCUUCCCUGGGUUAGUCGGCCCCUAAGGCGAGGCUGAAAAGCGUAGCUGAUGGGAAACAGGUUAAUAUUCCUGUACUUUGUGUACAUCGUUUGAGUGAAGGAGGGACGCAGGAGGGUAGGUCAUCCAUCUGUUGGACAUGAUGGUUCAAACCCGUAGGGAUGAUUCAUAGGCAAAUCCGUGAAUCUCUAUCCUGAGAGGUGAUGACGAGGCGCAAGCCGGAAGUGAUUGAGCCCAUGCUGCCGAGAAAAGCUUCUAAACGAGAUGUGCAUGAAACCGUACCGCAAACCAACACAGGUGGGUGGGAUGAGUAAUCCAAGGCGCUUGAGAGAACUCUGGUUAAGGAAUUCGGCAAAAUGACCCCGUAACUUCGGGAUAAGGGGUGCCACUUUUGGUGAUUAUAUUCACUGUAAGAGCUGAAAGUGGUCGCAGAGAAAUGGCGGUGGCGACUGUUUACUAAAAACAUAGGGCUAUGCUAAGUCGUAAGACGCUGUAUAUGGCCUGACGCCUGCCCGGUGCCGGAAGGUUAAGAGGAGGGGUUAUCCUUCGGGAAAAGCUCUGAAUUGAAGCCCCGGUAAACGGCGGCCGUAACUAUAACGGUCCUAAGGUAGCGAAAUUCCUUGUCGGGUAAGUUCCGACCUGCACGAAUGGCGUAACGAUCUCCGCACUGUCUCAACCAGAGACUCAGUGAAAUUGAAUUCUCGGUGAAGAUGCCGAGUACCCGCAGAAAGACGGAAAGACCCUGUGCACCUUUACUACAGCUUGACAUUGGAUUUUGGAUUAGCAUGUGUAGGAUAGGUGGGAGACUAUGAAGCAGGCACGCCAGUGUUUGUGGAGUCGCCCUUGAAAUACCACCCUUGCUAAUCUAGGGUUCUAAUCCAUAGCCGUUAACCGGCAUGGAGACAUUGUCUGGUGGGUAGUUUGACUGGGGCGGUCGCCUCCUAAAGAGUAACGGAGGCGUGCAAAGGUUCCCUCAGGCUGAUUGGAAACCAGCCGUUGAGUGCAAACGCAUAAGGGAGCUUGACUGUGAGAGAGACAUCUCGAUCAGGUACGAAAGUAGGUGUUAGUGAUCCGGUGGUCCCGCAUGGAAGGGCCAUCGCUCAUCGGAUAAAAGGUACGCCGGGGAUAACAGGCUGAUCGCAUCCAAGAGUUCACAUCGACGAUGCGGUUUGGCACCUCGAUGUCGGCUCAUCACAUCCUGGGGCUGGAGCAGGUCCCAAGGGUACGGCUGUUCGCCGUUUAAAGUGGUACGCGAGCUGGGUUUAAAACGUCGUGAGACAGUUUGGUCCCUAUCUUCUGUGGGCGUAGGAUAUUUGAGAGGGGCUGCCCCUAGUACGAGAGGACCGGGGUGGACGAUCCUCUGGUGGACCUGUUGUCGCGCCAGCGGCAUAGCAGGGUAGCUACGAUCGGCAAAGAUAACCGCUGAAAGCAUCUAAGCGGGAAACUUGCCUCAAGAUUAGAUAUCCCUCAUCUUCGGAUGACUGAAGGUCCCUUGAAGACUACAAGGUAGAUAGGCCGGGUGUGUAAGCGCAGCAAUGCGUUCAGCUGACCGGUACUAAUAGACCGCGCGUCUUCUUUGC